GCGACUCUUAAAGGCCCAAAGCCCUUAGAAAGAGAAAGCUCUGCAGCCUCCCAAGUGGUCUGUCUGCCUCGCAGGAGGCCGAACUCUGGCAGUCUUUACGUUUGAAACCUUCACAGCUGCAACCUGGGCAGUUCUUUGCCCGAUGGAGUCAAAUUUCCUGUGUUCAUAGUCUAGUGUCGCCUCUUGCUUAUCCUUAUAAUGGGGAUAAUGCAGUUUUUCCACAUAUGGUUGUUCUACAGAUUAAACAGGAUAAGGGAUGUAAACACAUCCCUGAUAAACUGGUGAAUGUUCAAUAAAAGUCAUCUGGGACUGGAUUUCCCGGUAGUUAUACAGGUCACGGCAACGCGGAGACAUCAACAUAAUGAAAAAAAAAUUGGCAAGGUGGGGAUGGCUUUAACUUCAGGAAAGGUAUCAAAGUCAUGAUCAUAGGGAAAAUAAAAGCACGCUUGAAACUUCUAACACCUUUACACUUUUCCCAUUUAAUAUUCAUUUUAUUUUAAAUGAUGUAUGGUGAGCACCACCAUCAUGUCAGUGCUUACAGCCUUUCAAAGUUCUGUCCUUCCCCCUAUAGCUGUUCCUGCUGUUGUUAUUACUAUUCCAGUGUAUCUGAAUAGUUCCUAACCUUAAUACCUGAUUGAUUUGGACUAGGAUUUCAGUCUUUAUUCUCAGCAGGGAAAAGAAUACAUUCAUUAUUCACUACCCCUCCCUCCCUUCUUCCAUAAUGCAUGCAUCCAUUAAUAAACAAUUAUUAAUAUUUACCAUUCCCUAGGCCCUGUGAUGGAUUCUGGGAGCUAGAGAUGGUUAAAGUCUGGCAGAAUCUGGGCCCCUGUAGUCACCAGGACAUAUUAAUGACAAGAUGGCAUGGGAGUUCAGCUGAGGGAGAUAACAUCUUCACCCUCCCACCCCCUUUUCUUUCUUAGACAUUUAUGUGGUGUGAGAUUCUUUCUAAAACAACUCCGUGGAAAAGAGGACAUUGAAUUCAACAAUUUUUUGAACAGCUAAUAUAUGCCCUGCAGUGAACCUGGAUCUAGGUCUACUAGGUUACUGCUGUGAACAAGACAGUGGCCUUUGUUCUUAAGGAGCACUUUGGGGGCAACAGCAAAGAUCAGUCAGCUGCUGUGUUGUGAGGAUAGUCAGGCAGCCCGAUGGAAAGGCACAUGUGGCCAGGAACUGAAGCCUCCUGCCAACAGCCAUGUGAGUGAUCAUCUUGGAAUCAGAUUCUCAAGCCCCAGUCGACCCUUCAGAUGACUGCAGCCCUGGCCCAACCAUCUUAACUGCAACCACAAGAGACACCCUGAGCCAGAACCACCCAACCAAACUCUUCCCAGACUCAUGAUUCACAGAAACUGAGAUGGUGAUCAAGGUCAGCAUCAACAGUGAUAAGUCAUGCCGAUGUCUGAGAAACUGCCACAGCAAGAGGAAUGUGACAACAAAAUGCAAUGAGGCAUGCUGGAUGGAUCUUGGAAUAGAACAAGGACACUAGGUAAAAACUAAGGAAAUCAGAAUCAACUAUGAACUUUAAUUGAUAAGUAUCAUUUUUGCUUUAUUAAUUAUAACAAAUAUACCAUGCAUUUGUAACAGACAUUAAUAGGGAAAACAGGCUUGUGCGGUGGCUUAUGCCUGUAAUCCUACUACUUUGGGAGGCUCAGGCAAGAGGAUCGCUGGA